rnacentral:miRNA from 1 species
AGUUCUUUCUUUUUAGCUUUAG